GAGGGAGGAGUGGGCUGACUUUUUUUUUCCCCUUUCAUAUCUGAUAGACCUAUCCACCGCCUGAGGUGUGUAGUCGCAAGAAGAAAGGAACCCCAAUUUCGAAUGGGAGUUGCAUGCCCGAGAGAGAAACAAUUUAACUUGCCAUCCCGCGUGCAACUGCAUAGCUGAGAACAAGCGCCCUCCAAGCCGGACGCUCAACAGCAAUUGGGCAGAGUUGCGCACGCUGCUUGUACACGAGGGUGGUUCAUGGUCUUUAAGCGCAGAAGUGACAUCCGAUAACGUAGUUGUCCCUUGCUGGCUGUCUCACCAUCCGACAGGAAUAAUCAGUGCUGUUGACGAAAUAUAACAAAGAAGUUGGACUUCUGCGCACUACCACUACCAGACAGACAUACCGAACUUUUUUAGAAGUAACCGCCAGGAUGGACGAGAAGGAAAAACCUAAUUCAAGCCCAAAGGCGAAGACCACUACAAAACACAAACCUUCUUUCUUGCAUUGUUUGGGUGGAUUGCCAACGGUCUUGUGUGUCAUGAUGUCGCUUUUUUCGAUGUCAUUUUGUUUAAUGAUGAAUUUCAAGACCUCUCAUCUGGAGCAGAGAGUGCAUGUGUUGGAGAUGGAGCGACUGUCUCUGAUUCAACCCGCGCCGCCUGCACUUGAGCCAAAUGGAACAGUGUCGGCACUGCGGGAGACGAUUGAAAAACUUUUGCAAGAGAGGAUCAAUGCAGCGGUGCCCAGAAUACGCACAGCGCGGGAGGCAGAAGGUCCAUGUUCCUGCCCGCCAGGGCCUCCUGGGAAGCGUGGCAGAAGAGGCAAUCCUGG